AUUCAAGUAAUGGCAAGUAGUUUUAUUAGUAAACCACGAAUUGAUGUGAGAACUCUGCCACAAUUCGAUCUUGAAAACAGCAAAGAAAUUCAAGUUCACUAUUACUCAAGCGUGCAUAUGCAUAUAAAGUCUUGGGAAGAAUCAAGAAUGCAGGGUAACGGAUCUAGGCUAUUUUGAGGCAUAUACAAGCUGUACCUUCAAUUACUGUGUACUGAACAAGUCGGAUUUAAAUCCUACGGUUGGUGUGAAAGUGCAAUGAACAAGAGCAACGCGUUGGAGCAAUGGAUUGCCAAUCAUAUUUAUUAUUAUGUACAUAUUAUACAAUAAUAAAGUUUGUUGAUUUCAAAA